GCAAAAUUGAUAUUUUGCUAUAAAUGCGCAACUGUAGCAUUUUGUUUGUAUUUGUGAAUUAUUGUCCAAACAUUGACUAAUUAGGCUCAAAAGAUUCGUCUCGCAAAGUACAACAAAACUGUGCAAUUAGUUUUUGAUUUCAUCUACAUUUAGUACUCCAUGCAUGUACCGCAAGUUUGAUGUGAUGGGGAAUCUUCUUUUUGCAUAGUGCUAAAG
rnacentral:lncRNA from 1 species